UCCCCUCUUACGGUCUUUUUCCCCUGAGUUUCGGGCUUCUUUCCCGGCUGAGCAUCGGCCGUAUCGGAUUUUUUCCAGCUUACCCGAAACAACAUGGCCGACACUCCGUCGCGGGCACCCAUUUCCACCGUAUCAGACCCAGAUGCGACUCAGUAUUGGUGUUACCACUGCAACAAACGGGUCUCCGUCGAAACCCUAGCCAAUCAACCUGACGUAAUUUGCUGUGAAUGUAAGAACGGCUUCGUUGAAUCAAUCCAAUCGAUUCCGGCUGCGUCUUCGGCUCCGCCAUCACUGUCUCCAGAUCGGGCGGAUGAUCCGUCUUUUGGCUCCCAGUUCCUUCAGGUGCUUCGCUUACUUGCACAGGCAGCGCGUGACGAGGACGCGUCGCCUCCGCCGCCUCAGGAUCCCCAAUCCGAAGACGAUUUUUUGAGAAUCGAGCUUAAUGGAUGGGACAACGAUGAAGAAGAAGAAGAAGAAGAAGAAGAAGAAGAGGACGAGGACGAAGACGAAGAAGAGGAUGCCAACCAGAACGACGAGAACAGAGGCGACCAGCAAGUAAAUGGGGACGGAGAAGGAGGACAUGAUCGAUCUGAUAACGAGAAUGAAAACGAAGAGAACAGAGACGAUGACGAUGACGAUGAUGAAGAGGAUUUGAGGAGAAGGCGGCGCGACGUGCUCCGACUCCGGAUCCGGGACUUCGCUACCCGAGCGAGGAGCGGGCGAAACCGGAUCCUGGACUGGGCUGAGAUCUUGAUGGGACUGGAAGACAACUCGAUUGAGUUCCGUCUCGAGGUGCCGGAGUCGGACCGUUAUAUAGGCAAUCCAGAGGACUAUGUGGACGCGGCAGGAUAUGAGGAACUCCUGCAGAACUUGGCGGAGAGUGACGGUGGCAGGAGAGGGGCUCCACCAGCUGCUAAAUUGGCUAUAUCGGCCCUGCCGACGGUGGAGAUUGCAACGGAGGCGGACAGCUUGGUGUGCGCUAUAUGUAAGGACAUGGUUAGUUUCGGCGAAAUGGUGAAGAAGUUGCCGUGUGGACAUGGGUACCAUGAGGAUUGCAUCGUGCCAUGGUUGGGCACGAGGAACUCUUGCCCAGUUUGUAGGUUCGAGCUGCCAACGGAUGAUCAGGAGUACGAAGAGGAGAAGAACAGGAGAGCCAAGGUGCCUGUCGGUGGUGCUUCUAGUUCCGGUGAGGAGAACUCGAGCUCAGGUUGACUGUGAAAUUGGAAUGGUCUAAACUGCUUUUGAAGUUUGGUCAUCGAAAAAUUCAGAUUGAUCAGAUGAAGAAAUUGAGGUAGUUGUGCUCAGUUUUCCAUUGAAUCUCGAAUCAGUUAAUGGCUUUAGUCAGAAUUUCGACUACAGAAGCAUACAUUUGGAUUUAGCUAAUAGAAUCAGGUCUUCUUGAAUAUAAUUUUCAGUGUCAAACUGAUAGUACGGCAAUGAUGCCUGGAUAUUUGUGGUCGAAGAAGAGAGCUAGAAAAUAGUUUGAUGUUGUGUAAUGAGCAUUUGGCAAA